CGGAAAAUUGCGAUUCAAUUUUUUUUCUAGGAGUUACGCCCCUUUGAACUUAUUUACUUUAAUGUACUACUGCAACAGUUUAUCAUCGCAACUCCUCUCAAACCACACAACAGAAUUUCACGAAACCUUUUCAGAUAAUAAGGACAUACUAUGUAGUUGUGCAUAUCGACGGGAAAUUGCGAUUCAAUUUUUUUUCUAGGAGUUACGCCCCUUUGAACUUAUUUACUUUAAUGUACUACUGCAACAGUUUGUCAUCACAACUCCUCUCAAUCCACACAACAGAAUUUCAUGAAACUUUGUAGAUAAUAAGGAAAUACUAUGUAGAUGUGCAUAUCAACAGGAAAUUACGGUUCAAUUUUUUUUCUAGGAGUUAUGCCCCUUUGAACUUAUUUGCUUCAAUGUACUUCUGCAACAGUUUGUCAUCUCAACUCCUCUGAAAACACACAACAGAAUUUCAUGAAAUUUUGUAGAUAAUAAUAUAAGGACAUACUAUGUAUAUUGACAGCAAAUUAUUAUUCAAUAUUUUUUCUUAUACAAUUUUUUUUCUUAUACUUAUUUAAUUUCUCCAAUGACAAUGUGGGGAUGUGGGGUAUGUGAGCGUGCUCACUAAGGUUCUUUAAUUAAAGUCUGUAUACAUUCCAAUAGAAUGCUUGUCAAUUGUACUGAAAUUCUUGUUUCCUUAUACCCACGAAAUCCACAAAUUGGUAUCCAACAAAGGAUAAUGAAUCCACAGCAUCAUUGGUUUGUUUUCACCAAUAAUUCGCUGAAGAUAUAUUGUGUAUCACUCUUGUUAAAUUUGUUGUAUCUUUUUGUUUAUUGUUUUUUUUGUUAGUGUUUUAUUUUUGUUGUCUAACAUGUUUUCCUUUCAAGGUUGUGUUGUGUUGUUUAAUUAGAUAAGACUUAUUAGUUAGAUAAGGUUUUUGUUUACAUCUAUCAAUCAAUUUCUUUGCAAAUUCUGUAAUAUUUAUGCUCUAGUAUGAGAUUGUGUCAUAUGCAAUUUUCUUUGUGUCAUCUUACCUUUAAAAAAUCAUGAUUGUUAAGGAAAGUAUUUGCCGUCCACAAUGUUACCAUUAUAUCAAUAUAUUGUAUAAUUUGGUUAAUGAUUUUAAGAAUUUACUUAUUGUCACAAAAUUAUUUUCACUAAAUAAAAAGUGCAUAAUUGAAUUGUUUAUUUAGUUAAAAAAGAAAAGGCAGAAGACAUCAAAGGAAUAUUCAAACUGAUAAGUUUAUUACAAGCUGACAACACCAUGGCAAAAUAACAAAAAAAACUAACAAAACACAAAACAACAGUUUACAAAACAUAACAUAGAAAAGAUUAAGCAAAACGAACCUUACCAUAAAUCAAGGUUGACCUUAGCCCAGGAAGGGUUAGCAGAUCCAAAAAAUAAUAAAAAUCCUGCAACAAAUCAAUCAACCAAUGAGUCA
rnacentral:lncRNA from 1 species